rnacentral:rRNA from 1 species
AACGAACGCUGGCGGCAUGCCUAACACAUGCAAGUCGAACGAAAGCUUCGUCCUUAGUGGCGCACGGGUGCGUAACGGGUGGGAAACUGCGCUUUGGUUCGGCAUAACAGCUGGAAAUGGCUGCUAAUACCGGAUGCUGACGCAAGACCAAAGAGUUAUCGCCAGAGGAUGAGCCCGCGUUGGUUUGGGUAGUUGGAAGGGUACAGGCAUACCAAGACGACGAUCCAUAGCUGGUCUGUGAGGAGGAUCAGCCACACUGGGACUGAGACACGGCCCAGACUCGUGGGGGAGGCGGCAGUGAGGAAUAUAGGAGAGUAGGCGCAAGCCUGAGCCAGCGAGGCCGCGUGAGUGAUGAAGGCGUUAGGGUUGUAAAGCGCUUUUACCCGGGAAUAUAGUGACUGUACCGAGAGAAUAAGCCCCGGCUAACUCCGUG